UACAGAGGUCUCGAGCGUUAAUCGGAGUCACUGGGCUUAAAGGGUGCGUAGGCGGAUCUUCAAGUGUCUUGUGAAAUCCCACGGCUCAACCGUGGAAUUGCUCGAUAGACUGGAGAUCUUGAGGUUGGUAGGGGUCGCUGGAACUCUAGGUGGAGCGGUGAAAUGCGUAGAUAUCUAGAGGAACGCCGAAGGUGAAGACAAGCGACUGGGCCAAAUCUGACGCUGAGGCACGAAAGCGUGGGGAGCAAACGGG
rnacentral:rRNA from 1 species